GAUGAAGAACGUAGCGAAUUGCGAUAAGUAAUGUGAAUUGCAGAUUUUCAGUGAAUCAUCGAAUCUUUGAACGCACAUUGCGCCCUUUGGUAUUCCUUAGGGCAUGCCUGUUCGAGCGUCAUUUAAACCUUCAAGCUAAGCUUGGUGUUGGGUGACUGUCCGCUUCACGGCGGACUCGCCUCAAAAUUAUUGGCGGCCGGUACAUUGGCUUCGAGCGCAGCAGAAACGCGAACUCGGGCCCGUCGUAUUGGCUCCCAGAAGCUAUCUUCACAAUUUUGACCUCGGAUCAGGUAGGGAUACCCGCUGAACUUAAGCAUAUCAAUAAGCGGAGGA
rnacentral:misc_RNA from 1 species